UUUGGAAUUGGGGUAACCUUCAAAACCAAAGGUGAUAGCUUUUUAAAAGGUCAUUAUCAUCAAAUGUUUACAAAGUGUUUGAAUUGAGGGGCAGAU